ACGAACGCUGGCGGCGUGCUUAACACAUGCAAGUCGCACGGAAAGGCCCUGCUUGCAGGGUACUCGAGUGGCGAACGGGUGAGUAACACGUGGGUGAUCUGCCCUGCACUUCGGGAUAAGCCUGGGAAACUGGGUCUAAUACCGGAUAGGAGCCAUUUUUAGUGUGAUGGUUGGAAAGUUUUUUCGGUGUAGGAUGAGCUCGCGGCCUAUCAGCUUGUUGGUGGGGUAAUGGCCUACCAAGGCGGCGACGGGUAGCCGGCCUGAGAGGGUGGACGGCCACAUUGGGACUGAGAUACGGCCCAGACUCCUACGGGAGGCAGCAGUGGGGAAUAUUGCACAAUGGGCGCAAGCCUGAUGCAGCGACGCCGCGUGGGGGAUGACGGCCUUCGGGUUGUAAACUCCUUUCGCUAGGGACGAAGCUUUUUGUGACGGUACCUAGAUAAGAAGCACCGGCUAACUACGU
rnacentral:rRNA from 1 species